AACGAACGCUGGCGGCAUGCCUAACACAUGCAAGUCGAACGAAGGCUUCGGCCUUAGUGGCGCACGGGUGCGUAACGCGUGGAUAAUCUACCCUUUAGUCUGGAAUAACUUACCGAAAGGUGAACUAAUACCGGAUAAUAUGCCGAUUUCCCCGGAGAUCGGGAUCAAAGAAGGCUUCUGUUUACAUGCUUUUGCUGAAGGAUGAGUCCGCGUACCAUUAGCUAGUUGGUAGGGUAAUGGCCUACCAAGGUUAUGAUGGUUAGCUGGUCUGAGAGGAUGAUCAGCCACACUGGAACUGAGACACGGUCCAGACUCCUACGGGAGGCAGCAGUGAGGAAUAUUGCGCAAUGGGGGCAACCCUGACGCAGCAACGCCGCGUGAGUGAGGAAGGUUUUCGGAUUGUAAAGCUCUGUCGAGCGGAAAGAAAUGCAUUAUGGCUAAUAUCCAUAAUGCUUGACGGUACCGCUAAAGGAGCACCGGCUAACUCCGUCG
rnacentral:rRNA from 1 species